AACAAACGCUGGCGGCGUGCUUAACACAUGCAAGUCGAACGAGAACGGGAUAAGGCUUGCCUUAUUUGUCAGCUAAGUGGCGCACGGGUGAGUAAUGUAUAGGUAAUGUGCCCUAGAGAGGGGGAUAAUUGAUGGAAACGUCUUGUAACACCCCAUAUGCCUUUAAGUCAAAAGACUGCAAGGGAAAUAUUUAUAGCUCUAGGAUCAGCCUGUAUGGUAUCAGUUAGUUGGUGGGGUAAUGGCCUACCAAGACUAUGACACCUAACUGGUUUGAGAGGAUGAUCAGUCACACUGGAACUGAGACACGGUCCAGACUCCUACGGGAGGCAGCAGUGGGGAAUAUUGCACAAUGGAGGAAACUCUGAUGCAGCAACGCCUCGUGGAGGAUGACACAUUUCGGUGCGUAAACUCCUUUUAUAUAAGAAGAUAAUGACGGUAUUAUAUGAAUAAGCACCGGCUAACUCCGU
rnacentral:rRNA from 1 species